CAUGAAAACGCAGAUGGCGGUGGAGUGCACCUUCAGAAAGCAGUGUAGGAUAGGUGCGAGGUGGUGACACGCAACGACCAAUCCUAAAAGACCACUCUUUCGUCUAAGGAUGCCUAAUCGCCGCACCGAUCAUUCACACGUGGGCCAGGGGUGGGGGGAUACUGCAUGAUGGGUAGUUUAUAUGGGACGGAUGCCUCCUAAAGAGAACAGAGGAGUGCGAAGAUAGGCUCAAGCGUUGAUUCUGCUCGUGAGCGUAAUGGUAUAAGUCUGCCGACUGUGAGACCGACUGGUCGAACAUAGACGAGAGUCGACCAUAGUGACCUGGGAGUCACGUGUGGAAGGGCUCUCGCUCAACACAUCAAAGAUGCGUCAGGGAUAACAGGCUGAUGACUCCCAGGAGUUAUUGUCUAAUGCAAUGCGCGAUAUAUGUCAUGUAGCAAGGUGCCCGAAAUCUAUUGUAUUAGGAAUUUUGGAUUGCGAUUUCCUUGGGUGACAUAGGGCUGCUCGAGCUUGGUC
rnacentral:ncRNA from 1 species